rnacentral:tRNA from 1 species
CGCGGGGUGAAGGGCAACUCGGAAGCCCAUCGGUCUCAUAAGCCGAGAUAUGCGGGUUCAAAUCCCGUCCCCGCUA